AAUCACAUGUGGCUGGGACUGUUUUCCAGAGCUCCGGGCUCUUUCCUUUCUUCCUUCCCCAUUAAAUCCCUCUGCUCCACUUGGCAAAGGUCAGCAGGUGAGCCAGAGGCCAUGUCCUGGGGUCACUAGGGCAGCCUGUGAAGAUGCCCAGAUGGUGAGGAAUGGAGGCCUCUCUUCCGCAGCUGAGGGGAGCUGAUGUCUGCCAACAGUCAGAUGUUUAUAAAACUGAAGGUUUUUGAAACCCACUUUCAAGAAAGACCUACAAUUUUGGACACAGGGUUAGGUCCUGCAGAAAGAAGUUGAGACCAACAGCCAACAGAAGAAAUCACUUAAUCUGAAUUUUUAUGAAUUUUGGGUGCCAAAAUAUUCUCCUCUCAAUAUUAGGUAGUAAGGCAGAUUUUUAAUCUGUAACAGUUGUUGACAGAGCAGAGUUUUAAAUGUAUUGUUUACUUCAUGGGGCAAUGGGUUUACUAAAGAAAUGAAUGAUGCAUUAACCUUCUGCAAGGAGAAUAUUAAA